rnacentral:tRNA from 1 species
GGCCGGGUGGCUUAGCUGGACAUAGCGCCGCACUCAUAGGGUCAGCGAGAUUCGGUGCGGUUCCGUCCCGAGAGGCCCGCCGAGCCUCGACGCCUGGGACAUGCGGAGAUCGCGGGUUCGGAGCCCGCCCCGGCCA